AAGAGGAUAUAAAUUCUAUGUCUGAAAAAACAAAAUGAAGGCAGAUGAUUACCACAGAACUCAGUGUACCAAACAUGCAUAUAAAUGACUCACAGGGAUUCUGAAAACACUGCACAUCCCUCAACAGUCAUCUACAUAGGUCUCAGUAAAAAUGAGAUGAAGGAUUCCAUCACAAAGGCCUCAUUGCACCAUCUCAGAUGUACCAAUACAGCUUUGCAUCCUCUCACAGCUGUAAAUCUAGUAGUGAAUACAAUUGCAUGGCCUCCCUGGUGGUACAAGGGGUUAAGACGCAACCUAUGAAGCUGUCCGCAGCCUCUGCAGCACGAGUUCCAUCCCUGACCAGGGAGCAACCCACAUGGCGCAGCAGACCUCUCCUGACUCACCCGCUGCUCCCUC